GCGGGAAUGCUGGAAUUGGCAGACAGGCUAGACUAAGGAUCUAGUGAUGGCAACGUCGUGAGGGUUCAAGUCCCUUUUCCCGCACGA
rnacentral:tRNA from 1 species